AGGAGCCAUGUACCCAGCAAGAACCCAACAGGCUGCACAUCACAUCUCUGUCUCAUCCAAAAGAGGCUAAGUGACCAGACUGCUACCACGCAGACAGCAAGCAGCAAAGCUGGGAGCCAGCCAAGACUUCUCCAGCCUGAAGCCUGGGCUUUGUUUGCAGAGUGGCUCCAGCUCCCCACUACACCUCUCACAUGGCCAUGAGUGAGCUAGCACCGCAACCCAGGCACCAUUACGCACCUUCUGAGGUAUAAACUGUCUGCCUUCUGGACAGGCCUACUCAUUUACCGUGACUUCAACUGUUAGCUAACACUUGUCAUGUCUUUAAAAAGCAGCAUUUGGUUAGCGUAAAUACCAUUUAUGCCUCUUCCUUCAUCCUCUCAUUCCUUCUUGUAUGAUUGCCCUAUGGAAA
rnacentral:lncRNA from 1 species